AUAGAAAACUCCAAUGAAGCAUCUUCUGGAGAUGACCUCACGUAUAACUCAUAGGAUGAAGUGAUGAAGAUAUGCUUGCCUGCACACAAGAAGGAGUACAUUCAGCUAAAGAACUAUGGCCACCAAGCAAGCCUUUGGGAAAGAGAAAGGUGUCUGGAGGAAUGAUAAAAUACAUCUCAGUUACACGAAGCCUCUGAUGCUGCAGAGGAAGAGCCUCCUCAUCAGAGCCAAACAUUGAGGAAAGUUUCCGAAUGCACAGAGUCUUUGUUUCCUGCUUGGAAACCAGGGAGUCGCCUGUACAUCUGCCCAGUGCGGCCAGCUGUAAGAACGCAGAACUCUCAUCAGAACAGAGCAGACUGAAGCAAUCAGGAAUGGGGCACUCUGAAGGCAAAAAGGGGUUACAGUGUUCUCCCCAGACUCUCCUUCCCAAGCACAACACGUCACUCUUGUCAACAAUGGAAAAGAGAAAUCAUUGUAUAUAUGGAGACUAACUGAAGAAUAACAGAAAGACUCUGUUGCGAGGGCUCUUUGACAUUUUACAUUGUUUAAAGAUUCAUCCUAAGAAAUAAAGGUCUUAU
rnacentral:lncRNA from 1 species